ACGGGUGCGUAACGCGUGGGAAUCUGCCCUUUGGUUCGGAAUAACCGUUGGAAACGACGGCUAAUACCGGAUGAUGACGUUAAGUCCAAAGAUUUAUCGCCAGAGGAUGAGCCCGCGUGAGAUUAGGUAGUUGGUGGGGUAAAGGCCUACCAAGCCGACGAUCUCUAGCUGGUCUGAGAGGAUGAUCAGCCACACUGGGACUGAGACACGGCCCAGACUCCUACGGGAGGCAGCAGUGGGGAAUAUUGGACAAUGGGCGCAAGCCUAAUCCAGCAAUGCCGCGUGAGUGAUGAAGGCCUUAGGGUUGUAAAGCUCUUUUACCCGGGAUGAUAAUGACAGUACCGGGAGAAUAAGCCCCGGCUAACUCCGUGCCAGCAGCCGCGGUAAUACGGAGGGGGCUAGCGUUGCUCGGAAUUACUGGGCGUAAAGCGCACGUAGGCGGCUUUGUAAGUUAGGGGUGAAAGCCUGGAGCUCAACUCCAGAAUUGCCUUUAAGACUGCAUCGCUUGAAUCCGGGAGAGGUGAGUGGAAUUCCGAGUGUAGAGGUGAAAUUCGUAGA
rnacentral:rRNA from 1 species